rnacentral:rRNA from 1 species
GCAGGGAAUAUUGCACAAUGGGCGAAAGCCUGAUGCAGCGACGCCGCGUGAGGGAUGAAGGCCCCCGGGUCGUAAACCUCUUUCAGGAGGGACGAAGCGCAAGUGACGGUACCUCCAGAAGAAGCCCCGGCCAACUACGUGCCAGCAGCCGCGGUAAUACGUAGGGGGCAAGCGUUGUCCGGAUUUAUUGGGCGUAAAGAGCUCGUAGGCGGCUCAGCAAGUCGGCCGUGAAAUCCCGGAGCUCAACUCCGGGAGGCCGGUCGAAACUGCUGUGGCUAGGGUCCGGUAGAGGAGAGUGGAAUUCCCGGUGUAGCGGUGAAAUGCGCAGAUAUCGGGAGGAACACCAGUAGCGAAGGCGGCUCUCUGGGCCGGCACCGACGCUGAGGAGCGAAAGCUAGGGGAGCAAACAGGAUUAGAUACCCUAGUAGUCC